CAGCAGCCCGAGUGGUGAUCCUUUUUAUUGGGCCUAAAGCGUCCGUAGCCGGACUAGUAAACCCUUGGGUAAAUUGGGCAGCUUAACUGUCCAAAUUCCGAGGGGACUGCUAGUCUUGGGACCGGGAGAGGUCAGAGGUACUCAAGGGGUAGGGGCUAAAUCCUGUAAUCCUUUGGGGACCACCAGUGGCGAAGGCGUCUGACUAGAACGGAUCCGACGGUAAGGGACGAAACCCUGGGGCGCGAACCGGAUUAGAUACCCGAGUAGUCC
rnacentral:rRNA from 1 species